CAGUCGAGCGGACAGAUGGGAGCUUGCUCCCUGAUGUUAGCGGCGGACGGGUGAGUAACACGUGGGUAACCUGCCUGUAAGACUGGGAUAACUCCGGGAAACCGGGGCUAAUACCGGAUGCUUGAUUGAACCGCAUGGUUCAAUUAUAAAAGGUGGCUUUUAGCUACCACUUACAGAUGGACCCGCGGCGCAUUAGCUAGUUGGUGAGGUAACGGCUCACCAAGGCGACGAUGCGUAGCCGACCUGAGAGGGUGAUCGGCCACACUGGGACUGAGACACGGCCCAGACUCCUACGGGAGGCAGCAGUAGGGAAUCUUCCGCAAUGGACGAAAGUCUGACGGAGCAACGCCGCGUGAGUGAUGAAGGUUUUCGGAUCGUAAAACUCUGUUGUUAGGGAAGAACAAGUACCGUUCGAAUAGGGCGGUACCUUGACGGUACCUAACCAGAAAGCCACGGCUAACUACGUGCCAGCAGCCGCGGUAAUACGUAGGUGGCAGCGUGUCCGGAAUUAUUGGGCGUAAAGCGCGCGCAGGCGGUUUCUUAAGUCUGAUGUGAAAGCCCCCGGCUCAACCGGGGAGGGUCAUUGGAAACUGGGGAACUUGAGUGCAGAAGAGGAGAGUGGAAUUCCACGUGUAGCGGUGAAAUGCGUAGAGAUGUGGAGGAACACCAGUGGCGAAGGCGACUCUCUGGUCUGUAACUGACGCUGAGGCGCGAAAGCGUGGGGAGCGAACAGGAUUAGAUACCCUGGUAGUCCACGCCGUAAACGAUGAGUGCUAAGUGUUAGAGGGUUUCCGCCCUUUAGUGCUGCAGCAAACGCAUUAAGCACUCCGCCUGGGGAGUACGGUCGCAAGACUGAAACUCAAAGGAAUUGACGGGGGCCCGCACAAGCGGUGGAGCAUGUGGUUUAAUUCGAAGCAACGCGAAGAACCUUACCAGGUCUUGACAUCCUCUGACAACCCUAGAGAUAGGGCUUCCCCUUCGGGGGCAGAGUGACAGGUGGUGCAUGGUUGUCGUCAGCUCG
rnacentral:rRNA from 1 species